rnacentral:rRNA from 1 species
AACUGCUUUUAUGCGGGGAUAAAGUGAGGGACGCGUCCCUUUUUGCAGGUACCGCAUGAAUAAGGACCGGCUAAUUCCGUGCCAGCAGCCGCGGUAAUACGGAAGGUCCGGGCGUUAUCCGGAUUUAUUGGGUUUAAAGGGAGCGUAGGCCGGGGAUUAAGUGUGUUGUGAAAUGUAGGCGCCCAACGUCUGACUUGCAGCGCAUACUGGUUCCCUUGAGUACGCGCAACGCCGGCGGAAUUCGUCGUGUAGCGGUGAAAUGCUUAGAUAUGACGAAGAACCCCGAUUGCGAAGGCAGCCGGCGGGAGCGCAACUGACGCUGGAGCUCGAAGGUGCGGGUAUCGAACAGGAUUAGAUACCCUGGUAGUCC